rnacentral:rRNA from 1 species
UACGUAGGGUGCGAGCGUUAAUCGGAAUUACUGGGCGUAAAGCGUGCGUAGGCGGUUCGUUAUGUCUGCUGUGAAAGCCCCGGGCUUAACCUGGGAAUGGCAGUGGAAACUGGCGGGCUUGAGUGUGGCAGAGGGGGGUAGAAUUCCACGUGUAGCAGUGAAAUGCGUAGAGAUGUGGAGGAAUACCGAUGGCGAAGGCAGCCCCCUGGGCCAAUACUGACGCUCAUGCACGAAAGCGUGGGGAGCAAACAGG